GCUAACGUAACUUAAUAAAAGUGUAACACUGAAGAUGUUAAGAUGGGUCCUAGAAAACCCCGCAAGCA
rnacentral:tRNA from 1 species